AGGGGAGUGGCUCAACGGUAGAGCAACGGUCUCCAAAACCGUAGGUUGCGGGUUCGAAUCCUGUCUCCCCUGCCA
rnacentral:tRNA from 2 species